UACGUAGGGGGCAAGCGUUGUCCGGAAUCAUUGGGCGUAAAGAGCGUGUAGGCGGUUCGGUAAGUCUGCUGUGAAAGUCCAGGGCUCAACCCUGGAAAGCCGGUGGAUACUGUCGGACUAGAGUGCGGAAGAGGCGAGUGGAAUUCCCGGUGUAGCGGUGAAAUGCGCAGAUAUCGGGAGGAACACCGGUGGCGAAGGCGGUUCUCUGGGCCUGUACUGACGCUGAGGAGCGAAAGCGUGGGGAGCGAACAGG
rnacentral:rRNA from 1 species